rnacentral:misc_RNA from 1 species
UCAUGGCACCGUCGGGGACUUCGGAUCCUCGUCGGGCGGAUCGAGCUUAAGUGCUCUCCGCUCUGGAGCCACACAGAGUCGAUCUGGCUUUGGCGUCCGAGCGCAUCUCACAGUAUCCGGUUUCCAGGGUUCAGGCCCUGCUGCGCGUCCUUCGGGGCGCGCUCGCACCUUGAGAGCUGCAUAGCGCAAGAAUUCGAUCGCGAAUGGUGCA